AAAUGACCUAGCCUAGGGCCAAGAAUCUUUCUAAAGAAUUUUCGAUUGAGAUACCUUCAAGAAUUCAACUUGGAUUUUUCAAUAAGGAUAACCCCAGAAAUUGUUCCAGUAUUCCACCAUGUAGGGAUUGAGAGGGGUACUAUAGAAGAUAUCAAAUAAGCAGGAGGGCAUAUAGUUCCAGUAACAAUGAAAACCUAAGCAAACGGGAAAAGGCGAAUGACACGUCAGUCUUGUAAAGUGUUUCGAGCGAUGAAGUUGCGAUGGAAUUGCUCCUGUUGCAAUUCGGCUAAUUGAGCCAUUAGUUUUGAAUGUGCCGGUUCCUCCUUCCGGACACUACAAUGGCACAGUUGUUUUGUUUGGCAUUGCCGUUGAUGUAAACCAAGACGAUAGAGGUUGAUAUUGGAAUCAUUUGUGUUGGUA